GAGAUAUAAAAUAUAACUUCUUCCAUUUAAGUAUUCUCUCCAAAAUUCUUCUUAUUUUCCAACAAUUCAAUAAACAGUCAAGCUCAAACUAAGAACAGUGUUGUGACUGAAAUGAGCAGAUAUGGAAAAAGGGAGCAAGAGUCGGCUCGUUACAGAGGAAACUUUGUCAAUUGAGUAUAAUCAAUUGAGGAUAUCAAUUGGAAAGGGGGCAACGAAGAUGGCAAGUCGUAUUGGAGUGUUGGCACGUUGUCACAUUCUUUUGAAUAUCGAUGACUGGAGUUUGGUCCCAAAUGAAACUAAAGAGCUAAUUUGGAAGGGAAUUAAUGAGUCAUUCGAUGUAUAGGCCACAUCUAAAGCAAAAGUUUUGAGUGAAGUUGGAGACCGAUGGAGAGAUUGGAAGAGUUGGCUAACAAAAAAUAAAGUUGAAAAAUACAAAAAAAAAAAAAGCUCCUGAACUUCUUGCCCAUCCACAAAAUGCAUGGAGCAACUGGAUCAAACAAGAUGAUUGGGAAGGAUUCGUUGCUAAGAGAUUAUCUCUUUAGUGGGCAGAGCUAAGAAAAAAGAAACAAGGUGUGCGGGCACAGAACAAAUACAAUCACCACACAGGACGAAAUGAUGGCAGGCGUGCUUAGUACUUAUGUGAGGAGAUUUAGUCACUUUUGGAACUUUGUAUUUCUUUUAUUAGAAAUUGUUAGAACUAACCAAAUACAUAAUCAAUCUAACAAAUUAUAGGUUGAGUUAAUUUAGUUUUUUGAUGUGCAUACUUUGCUAAAUAUUCAUUUUAUGACAAACUAGGUUUUUUUAAACUUUGCUAGAUAUCCAUUUUAUCACAAACUUUGUUGGAACUAUGUAUUUCUUUUAUUAGAAAGUGUUAGAUUUAAUCAAAUAUAAAGUUAAUGUUA